rnacentral:rRNA from 1 species
CCUACGGGGAGCAGCAGUGGGGGAUAUUGCACAAUGGGGGAAACCCUGAUGCAGCGACGCCGCGUGUGGGAAGACGGUCCUCUGGAUUGUAAACCACUGUCCCCAGGGACGAAGAUGACGGUACCUGGGGAGGAAGCUCCGGCUAACUACGUGCCAGCAGCCGCGGUAAUACGUAGGGAGCGAGCGUUGUCCGGAAUGACUGGGUGAAAAGGGAGCGUAGGCGGGACUGCAAGUUGGGGGUAAAAGCUACCGGCUCAACCGGUAGCCGCACUCAAAACUGCAGUUCUUGAGUGAAGUAGAGGCAGGCGGAAUUCCUAGUGUAGCGGUGAAAUGCGUAGAUAUUAGGAGGAACACCAGUGGCGAAGGCGGCCUGCUGGGCUUUUACUGACGCUGAGGCUCGAAAGUGUGGGGAGCAAACAGGAUUAGAUACCCUGGUAGUC